CUGGCUCCAGAGCCCACACUGGUCUUGUUACUUUGGUUACACUGUGUGCCUUAGUGAUUUGCCACAUAUAGUGUGUGAUAAACUCUUACCUCUGGCUUUUGUGUAACCUGAGCACCAAGAUCCAUGCAUUGCAGUGGCUGGCUAAGUUAUCAGGUUGAUUUGCCGUGUCUCCAAAUGAAUCUACUAUUUUGCCUCUCUAAACCUGCUCUUCCUCCUGUAAUUCUCUCUUGAUGGAUGGAAACUCUCAAGCAGGACGCUUGGGAGCUAUCCUUGACUCCUCUGUUAAGUCCAUCUCCUCGCUGUCUUCACUGGUUCUGCCUUAAUUUGGCCUUUAUCAUCUCUCAUCUGAACUCUUGAAGUAGCCUCAGGUUAAGUCUCCUUGCCUUAAGUCUAACCUCUCCAAUCCAUUCUCUGCAUCAUUCUUCCAGAAUGUGCCACCCGCCUCUCCCACCUUGCUUUCAGGAUAGUGACCAAACUCUGUGAUCUGACUGCUGUUUACCAAACUAUCAACCUCAUCUCUUGGCCUCUAUCCCCAGCCCCAUUCUCCAUCGCAACACUCUACGCUCCAGAUACACUCACAGUUCCCAGGGCCCAUUGCACCAUCAUGCCUUCAUAUGCUUCCCUGUGCUAGAAAUGCCUUUCACUUUCUCCUCCAAUCUGCCCAGUGUUAAAUUCAAACAUCUCUAGGAAGCCCCGAGGUCACAAACCCCACCAGAAGCGUUGAUCACUCCCUCCUCUGUGCCCUCACUGUAGCACUUUCCCAACUGUAUUUGCAAUUGUAUUUCUGCAAGCGCUCAGACGUGUAUUUCUCCCUCACCAGACUCAGAGCUCCUCAAGGGCUGGAACUCUUCUUUCUGUCUGUACAAUUAAUGUUUGAGGAAUGGCAUAUGGGUAGUAGAUGCUUAGUGAAUAUUUCUUUGCUGAUGGACUCUAGGCCAGUUAGAGCUAAGACAAGACAGUGUUGGGGUAGGGAAUGAGGGACUUUUAAUCAGAAAGAAACUCAAGAAUCUAUAGGGCACAGGAUUUCAAACUGAGCGUAUGUUUCACCCAAAGAUGUGUUCAUUCCUCUCCAGAAGGGGCAUAGGUGGGAGAGGAGUAGAGAACACAGGGUUUCAGUGUUGAGAAACAGCAAAGAGUCUAAAAAUGUUAUUGCUGGAAGGGAUAGUCAAGAUCACAAACCUUUAGGACAAGAUUGUGCCUUCUAAGUGUACAUUUAAAAAUAGGAUCCAGUACUCUUUGCAGUUGAGGAAACUGAGGCCCAGAAAGGGGGAAUUGACCACUCUGAGGCCACAAAGCAAGUUGGUGGCACAGUGGUUUCUUCAUUCUUAAGCCUGUUCCCUUUUCACACUAUAUCACAGUUCUCGUGGGAAUUGGGAUUUAGAUCAGAUAAGGGGGAGAGAAAAUGGUUCUUCUCACUUCUCCCAAGAUAAGCGGCUGGAAAUUAGCUAAGUGUUUCUUGAGAAAAGUGAAAUGUGGAUGGUUAUCGUGUUGCUUGCCACUGCUGGUUUAGAUUUUUGUCUUCGCACUCUUGCUCAAAUGUCCCUAAAAGACAUUUGAAAAAUGAUGGAUCCCUAUGCACACUUUUAAGUUGACAUCUAAUUUUUUUUUGUCAAAUAAUUUUAAGUAGUUGCAAAGGAUGUUCUUGGAGAGAUUCUACAGUGCUGUACAUUGACAACUCUUGUCUGAGCACUGUUAGAAUGCAGUUUCGAAACGUCUAUCUUCAGUUAUAUCCCAUAGGGGGCGUCAAUAAAAGGCAUCCACAGCGUGGCCUCCUUUCAAGUGCAAUUAUCUUGGGCUGGUGGUACCUAUUGGACUGGAGCCCGCACUCCCGGUGGGCUCACCAUCGCCCUUUGAAAAAACACAACGACAAAUUCCAGUCAGAAAUUUUACAUCAUUCCUUUUUCUUCUUGAACUCCUAUUUCCAUUCUACUGUCCCCACAGGAUUUAAUCAUACAUGCAAUUCAUUUUCAUGCCUGUCUUUUAAUGAUUGCCAUAUUGUAUUUCUUUGAAACCAAAGUAUGCACUUAGAUUUCCAUUUUAAUUUUUAAUUUCUUGUGACCAUAAACCUUGAAGUGUUACUUCUUCUGGCUAGAGUUGCCAUAACAAUUAUUAGACCUAAUUGGCCAAAGCCACAUAAGUGUUUUACAAAGUUUGAUAGCAAUUUGAAUAUGGAGAAGUAUAUUUUAUUUAUUGAGAUGGAUUUUUUAAAUGUAUGUUUGUGUGUACAUUGCUAAAUGUUGUUUAUUCCUAGAUUGACAGGAAUCACCAUCAGUACUAUCCCUGUUUUCCAUUUUAAUCCGUGUAUGAGUUUAGAAGCCUUGUUCAUGUAAUUAUAUGGAGCUGGAAGACUCAUUAUUGCAGUAUCACUCAGUUCUUCCAAUUCUUUCCAAGAUAUAUGCCAAAAAUCACUUAAAGCUCUUUUAUCGAAAAUCAGAGAAGCCCAUUAUACCUUCCUUUAGUGUUGUACUGUGUGAAAAACCUCUUUUCUCUGAGGCUGUUUCUUGGAAGGAGCUUCUAGAACAAGGUCGAGUGGUUUUACAAUUUGCCACUGGUGGCAGGCCCACGAGAGCAGAAGCUUCUUGGGCAAAGCCGCCCUCAGGCCUCAGGGUUCUAAGGCCGCAGGGGCCACUGAUAGUUUUCUUCUAGCUUCCCCGUUAUUGCUUUCCCUCUCCAGGUUUGAAUCUCUGGAUCUCGUACCUGAAACUGCCUUGAGCUGAAAAUCAGGAUUGUUUUCUGCCUCCCACUCGAACAACCCCUCUCUUUGCGUUAACUUUCUCUGCAGGACAAUGACUCACCCUCUAAUCAGAAAUCAGUCCAGGGAUCUAAGAGGAGGGUGCUGCUCUUAAAAACACCGUCAACAAAGAGAUGGCCUCUGAAAGCCUGCACAUUCACCUCCUGGGUUCAAAAUGAUGUGCUCUUUAAAAGACAAGUUUGCUGAAAGCUUUCUGUGUCAGCUUUUUGAGCCGUUUACAGUCAGCUCUUACACAACGCAGGGAACUAGCAGGCUCUACCCGAUUCUCUAAACCACGCUAGAAAAUUGUGUGGCGCCUCCGUUAGCAUUUUAGUUCAGGGCAUUAAUUUUGCUGUUGUAUCUGGGCCUACUUGGAUUCUUGCCUCUUUCGGACCACAUUAAUUAUCUCAGGUUCCACCUGGACCCUCUCCUUGGCUUGCUGCCAUUUCUAAUAAAGGUAAAGUCACAAGAUCAAAGCUGUGUAGAUUGGUAACUUCCUCUUGCAUUAACCUUUGCUCUGAAACAGAAGCAAGCAGAAUCCCCUUUGUUCCUGGAAGGCAGAUUGAUGCCUUGGAAAUAACACAGAAGCUGGUGGAGACAGAAGAGCAAAGUUAUAGACGUCACCCUGUUGUGGACAGUGACCCAGAUAUAAUGAUACUACUGACUAUGUGGCGUUGCUGUGAAGAUGAAAGAAGGUGACCCAUGAGUCUGGUCCUUGGGGCAUGGUGGAUGCUUGGUAAAUGCUAGUUGUUUUUAUUAUGGGUUAGACCACCAGACAUGCCUCCAUAAUUGUCUUUAUUGGGAUCUUUGCCCCACAGGCCAAUCCAUAGCUAUUUCCUGGCCAUCUUACCUCACUUCUACUGGGCUACCUGCCCAGGCCUCAAUUUCUCCAACUUUCAAAACACUUUUAUAGAUGGGAACACGGGAACAACAAGAACCCGGAAGAAAUGUAAGGAAGCACACACAGAAAGGGACCAUUUAUGAGCAACAUAAUGAAAGCCUUGCAUCCUCAUUGGAUAAGAUUCGUGAUCAGAUCCUUCAUUCAGGACUUUGAACUUGAGCUUCCCACAGUGCUGACUGAAGAAGGAGCUUAAGCGAGCAGGCAGGCACCGGUCCAAGAUCCAGUCUGCUCUCCCAGAUGGAGGAGCCUGAGCUGCUCACACCCACUCACCCUGGCCUGCUGCCUCCCAGCUAGAAAGCUGCCGUCCGCACCAACACAGCCACACACGGGACACAGCCCCACUGAGGGGCCCAGGGCACAUUAUGGGGAUCACUUUUUCACCCCAUGACUCACCCCCUUGGGACUACCCGCCUGGCCACAGUGACAUGGCACGUGCAGUGGCUGUGUCAAGGGUGACGUGGGAGCACUUAGUCACCUCACCCACCACCAGCAAUGACCAUUGCUUCCCCUACAGACUAUCACAGCACAUUGAUAGCAACAGCAAUAGUGUUUGAUAUGCAUGACAAUUGUCGGUUUCUCACUCACACGUUAAGUGGGAUUUGGAGGUCUUCGGGGACCAUUGCUGUCUUUCCUGAUGUGUAAUGUGACAUCUCAGAAGUGUCAGUGAGCCUGCUGAGCCCCCACCACCCUCAGGUUCCUCCUUACACUGAAAUUGUGGAGCCACCACUGGCCACAUUCCAGGGAUACACUGGCACUGUCCCUGGGCAGUCACCCCACAGGACACGCGCAGUGCUCUGGCAGCCACUACGCAGUGAAAGGACAAUAUGAAAUAAAUAACAUUCAUUGAGUGAUUACUCUUGGGCAGGGACCUCACACAUUAGCUCAUUUAAUCCGCUCAACAAUUCCGUGAGGGGGUGUUACAGUUGAAUUGUGUGCUCACCAAAAGAUACCUGUGCAUGUGACCUUAUUGGAAACAGGGUCUUUGCAGAUGAUCAAGUUAAGAUGCAGGCAUUCGGGUGGGCCCUAAUCCAGUAUGACUGGUGUCCUUAUAAUGGGGGAAAUUUGGACACAGAGACAUGCACACAGGGAGAAGGCCACAUGCUGACACCUGAGCUCAGACUUCUAGAAACAGGAGGCAAUAGAUUUCUGUGGUUGAAGCCCCCCGGUCUGUGGUACUUUGUCACAAUAGCCCUAACAAACUAGUACUGUUUGUUUGGGUGGGUGCUACAGACGAGGAAGCUGAGGCUUGACUCUGGCGGGGCUUUAGAGAGAGUUGGGAUGAUGGGGUUACUGAGGUGGGACUAGGGGAGUUCCUGAGGGGCUGUUUGUUCCCUGACAGUUGGGCAGGUGGCUCCUCCCCUGUGAAGGGCAUGCACUCCUACAGCAGUCGAACUUGACGGUCUCUGAGGCCACUUCCAGCAAGGAUAUGUCCAGGGCAUGGAGGGGGCCACGGAGCUGGGUCUGCACCCAUCGGAUGUGGACUCGAUUCUGGGUGCCCCUGCAAACAAGGGGCGUCGCGCUUGCCUUGUCUCUGUGGGCACAGUCACACUUCAAUUCUUCUCCACGUUCUCAUAGGGAUUGCAGGACGCCAAGAGAACGAGGCCCCACAAAGGCCUUCACUUUUCCUUUAUUCCCAUGACUGGCAGGGAAAGAGCUAACCAAGCCGCCCCUGGCUGCCUGCAAGUGGAAUUCUUCAACCUUGAGGAUGAGGCUCCGGGCCUGGGGUGCAAUGGAGGGCCCGCCAGGGUUCUGAGCUCCGAAGGU
ensembl:lncRNA